AUGGCACUAUUGGGAAGUAANGUAUGAACCAUUUGCUGCUCGAAUCUCCAAGAAUCCAGCCAUUCCAGAAAGCACUCCCAGCACAUUGAAGAAUUCCAAAUGCUUACUUUUCUGGUGCAGAAAGAUUGUUGGGAACAGACAGGAACCAAUGUGGGAAUUCAACUUCAAGUUCAAAAAACAGUCCCCUAGAUUAAAGAGCAAAUGUAUGGAACGAUUGCAGCCUCCCAUUCAGUAUGAAGAUGUUCAUACUAACCCAG
rnacentral:lncRNA from 1 species